UAAUGUAUGGGGAUCUGCCCGAUAGAGGGGGAUAACUACUGGAAACGGUGGCUAAUACCGCAUAAUGUCUACGGACCAAAGCAGGGGCUCUUCGGACCUUGCACUAUCGGAUGAACCCAUAUGGGAUUAGCUAGUAGGUGGGGUAAAGGCUCACCAGGCGACGAUCUCUAGCUGGUCUGAGAGGAUGAUCAGCCACACUGGGACUGAGACACGGCCCAG
rnacentral:rRNA from 1 species